rnacentral:rRNA from 1 species
GGGCUUGGCGCAGCUUACCAUGCAGUCGAACGGUAACAGGGAGCUUGCUCCGCUGACGAGUGGCGAACGGGUGAGUAAUACAUCGGAACGUGCCCAGUAAUGGGGGAUAGCUCGGCGAAAGCCGGAUUAAUACCGCAUACGCCCUGAGGGGGAAAGUGGGGGACCGCAAGGCCUCACGUUAUUGGAGCGGCCGAUGGCUGAUUAGCUAGUUGGUAGGGUAAAGGCCUACCAAGGCGACGAUCAGUAGCUGGUCUGAGAGGACGAUCAGCCACACUGGGACUGAGACACGGCCCAGACUCCUACGGGAGGCAGCAGUGGGGAAUUUUGGACAAUGGGGGAAACCCUGAUCCAGCAAUGCCGCGUGUGCGAAGAAGGCCUUCGGGUUGUAAAGCACUUUUGUCAGGGAAGAAAUCCUUUGGGCUAAUACCCUAGGGGGAUGACGGUACCUGAAGAAUAAGCACCGGCUAACUACGUGCCAGCAGCCGCGGUAAUACGUAGGGUGCAAGCGUUAAUCGGAAUUACUGGGCGUAAAGCGUGCGCAGGCGGUUGUGUAAGACAGGUGUGAAAUCCCCGGGCUUAACCUGGGAAUUGCAUUUGUGACUGCACGACU